rnacentral:rRNA from 1 species
UUCCGUAGGUGAACCUGCGGAGGGAUCAUUACCGAGUUAUACAACUCAUCAACCCUGUGAACAUACCUAAACGUUGCCUCGGCGGGAACAGACGGCCCCGUGAAAACGGGCCGCCCCCGCCAGAGGACCCCCUAACUCUGUUUCUAUAAUGUUUCUUCUGAGUAAAACAAGCAAAUAAAUUAAAACUUUCAACAACGGAUCUCUUGGCUCUGGCAUCGAUGAAGAACGCAGCGAAAUGCGAUAAGUAAUGUGAAUUGCAGAAUUCAGUGAAUCAUCGAAUCUUUGAACGCGCAUUGCGCCCGCCAGUAUUCUGGCGGGCAUGCCUGUUCGAGCGUCAUUACAACCCUCAGGCCCCCGGGCCUGGCGUUGGGGAUCGGCGGAGGCCCUCCGUGGGCACACGCCGUCCCCCAAAUACAGUGGCGGUCCCGCCGCAGCUUCCAUCGCGUAGUAGCUAACACCUCGCGACUGGAGAGCGGCGCGGCCACGCCGUAAAACCCCCAACUCUUCUGAAGUUGACCUCGAAUCAGGUAGGAAUACCCGCUGAACUUAAGCAUAUCAAUAAGCGGAGGAA